rnacentral:tmRNA from 1 species
UGUAAUAAGCGGACCGGACCCGGGUGCGAUUCCCGGCGGCUCCACCAUUUCUCCCCGCGUUAUCGGCGGAGGCAUAUGGGGCCGACUAGCAUCGACGGACGUGUAAAGAAGACUGCUUUCGCUCGUCCUGGCCCACCGUAUCGGGCCAUUUUCUAACUGCGAACGAUAACUUCGCUGGAGAAGUCGCUCUCGCCGCGUAAUGCGGUUCGGGUGAUUUCGAACCUUAAGUCCUAGGGGUUCAGAUCCCUGGGCGGGGCCUGUCGGGAGCCUGGCAACAGAAUCCCGGCGCU